rnacentral:rRNA from 1 species
GUGCGAAUGAGUAGUGGAAGCGUUCGUGUGCUAUAACUACUUUGUUCGAGAACUCUCUUUACCUUCACACACAAUCUUACCUCACGAAUAGCGCAAUUCCCUACGUCCUCCUAACGUUGCGAAGUACUCUCUCAUCGAAUCUAGCAAAGAUUAACUUCGCUUAUCAACCUAUAAAUGUUGAACGAUCUGAUAAAUAUUUAAAAUAUGAAAGAAGAUAUUUUUAUGAUAUGCGAGAACUUUUUUUUACACAGAACGCAUGAGAACUUUUUUUUUUAGUCAGACUGUGAUCGUACCAAAGGUACAGGAUCACAGGUGUGCGCCUUUGGAUUGCUCCUCUGCAUGACCUGAUCUGAAGGCCGCCGACGGCCGCUGACCGCACUACGGCUAGGGGAAGAAGGGGAGAAGAAGAGGAAGGAGAGGAGGUGGGGUGGAAGAAGGGAUCGACUAGGUGAGAAGGGACGAGACAGCGAUGAAGAUAGAGACAAAGGAAAGAGAGUCUAGGGAAAGGAAAGGGGAACAAGGACGGCCUAAGUUCGGCCUCCGCUAGAAAGACUGGCCUAGACUACGCCGCAGCAAGCUAGGCUGGCCUAGGUCCCGAAGGAACAGAGGAGGCGUCUCAGGUAGGGGUCGGAAACGACAAGAAAGAUGGAAAGGGCGGAAGGUGAGGAGGUUAGGGGAACAAAAACAAAAGACAAGGAGAGUUGAACAGGGUGAAUAUUAGAAACUAAGUUCAAAGGGUUUUGGACAAAACGACCUAGACGAAAACACGUUAGAAAAACAGACCAAAUUCGGGAGAGAGAGCGCGUCCCCAGUCGUCACGUAGCAGGAAUUCCUAGAACCCACGGUACUUUCGAUAUCGCACCUUAACGGCUCCGUACCCGGCCUCGGAGUCGUUACUAGCAUACGAUAAAGACCGAUUAGACUAGGCAAGAUGAUUUCGCGUCAAAACAACAAGGAAGCUCUCCCCGGAGACCUCCCGAGACCGAUUACACCUUACUACUAGAGUUUCAGUGAUAAGUACGACGAAGGAAGGUGAUAUAUAAUCGAUAACAUGAAGUACAUUGGUGACCACAGGUUAAAACAAACCAGACAUAUAUACCACUAGGGAUAGUAUCUGUUUGAUGACGGUAAACCUCACUCUAAAGUUGAAAACACAUACUAUUAGACCCAGACGGGUACUACACAUACCCUCUGGAAUUACUGUAGAACAUACUAUGCCUACCAACAUUGCCGUUACAAUUGAUAAUAGCAUACUUACAAAAGGCGAGAGAACAAUUUUUAACACCUAAGAUACUAUAUCCAAAAUCACCAGGACGCAUAUGAACCGCAUCAUUUGUUGUGUGAAGCUUUGGAUAAAUAUCUACGGAACUAGCGACGAACCAAUUAAGACUUACCACGUACGUAAUAGGAUUAUGAUUUCAGGAGUUGAACGGAUAAUAAGAAUCACUAGUACGGGGGUAAGAUCACAGAUGACUUUUAACCACCGACGACCUCUUUCUAAAGCGAUCAAAACGGUUUAGACGUACCUUAUUAACGAGUCAAGUGAGGAAACGUCGGUUUUGGAGAAUAAACCGUCCAAGGAAUUUCUACACCGCGUUCUUUUUUUUCGGAGAGGUCGUCCUAGAAGAACUGGAUCUUAGCUUCUAAUUAGUUUAAGUUGUUGAAGGAAACGUUGGCGUCUUAGUACGUAACCUUUCAAGAGAAUAAAAGUCCAUACUCGUUUGAGAAAGAUUCGAAUUGGUUAAGAUAUUCGUCUCUUCAUUCUUUCCAACCCGAUGACGACCUCUAGCAUUAUGAUUUUAAAAGGUAGUUCGCCACCAAUUGCAUCCUUCUCCUUAUGAUAAACAAGACAAUUCCUACUCUUACUAUACUAGGUAAAGUUUGGAUCACGAUAGUGAUUGUGAAAACAAUUAAUAAAAGCAAUAUAAAAGAGUAGAGGACUAUUAUUACGACUAUCCGGAAUAGAACUAUGUGUAACCGGAUCACUGAGAGACCUAGGAUGGAUACGAGAAGGACUAUUUGUACUCCAAAAUGUCUAAGAGUUUCUUUACUUUAACUUACGAAGAGGUCCCGGUCUACCCAAAUUACAACUUAAAAUAAACCGCCGGACCCUGACCUAUCCUCUACUUCAGUGAGUUGAACAGUAAUUGAAAAUGUGAUGACCAUAAAACGGAGGUGUAUAAUUACUGUGAUUGUAACGAGAAUAAGGCUUUUCCGAACACGGAGUUCAAGGGUACCUGAUAGCGGGAUAAUCGGAAACAUUACAACAAAUGUUUUAGUAACGCUUCAGCGAACGAUUAUCCUAGUUCGGAGUAGAAGGACUAAUAUAGCUAGGACGAGUUGUUCGAAAGUAACUCCCAUCUGCAUAAUCACUAUUGUAGUAAUAACGGGUCCUCUAACGGGUGAGAAAGAGAGAAUUUAGAACCUUUGUGUCACGAAAGUACGAAUUCUAUCUAGAUCGGUUUCGAAAACUAGCAGAUCUUACCUUAAAAUAACACAGACGAGAACGAGCAUUUCCCGACGUACCAGUGAAGUAAUUAAAUUGAGUACGUACACAAAGAAGAGGAUGCAAGAGACACGACUAAUUACCUGUUGGGAGAGUGUUCAAAUCCUCGAAAGCUCCAUAAGCAGUCCCGACAGGCUACAGAGGAAAAAACAAACAAUAACGGUAGUUACUUAAUAGAUAACGAGAGUUGCUUCGAGAACGACGAGUAGUAAACGUCCCAUAAAGCGAACCUGGUUUAACGGGAAGAUAGGUGAGAAACAAUAAACGUCUACUGAACAACCAAACACCCGUUCGGUCAGAAGUUCUUCGAGCGUGAUACCGAGUAGAAUAAUUAGUAAAAACAAGAUAGAGUCCAGUUUGAGGUUUAACCCGGUUUAGUCGGUAAGAAAAGUCAAGAGUACAAGGAGUUCGAUACUACGUCCUAUAAUUCGUCUAAAAGGGACAAAGAUUAGACCUAUCGUUAAAGUGAGUAGAACCAGUACGUGAACAAGAAGGACGUUUUUCUUCUCGAUGACGUAUAUUGAAACAAGAUCUGUUUAAAGACUUAUUCAACGGGUAAAUAUUUCGAUUGUACGAAAGAGUACGACGGUCUGAACUUAACUAAGCGAGCCAAAAGAACCGAUAGGGACAGAUAAUGUACCGAUUAUAGAACAAAUGCUUCUUUAAGUAACGAUUCGAAUGACGACAAUAAUCCUUAAAAACCACCUGUCCACAAGCUCUUUUACUGAGUUUUUUCUCAGAAACGGAAUCUCGUACCUUCCUGUAAACGUUAAGUUUUCUACUUCCACCGAAUCCACAGUCUUUAAAUUUUCGAUAAUUACUCUCAGAAGAAUAAAGACGACGGACCUCCAAUCGGUUCAAGGGAACAAGAGUGAACGUAGAACAUGAAUUCCGAUUCAUGAAAGUACUACGAAGAUAGACCUGUCGAUGACGAUAAAGAGGGUUUAGUCGAAAGACCCGGAGAUAAAACUUUAACAACGGAUUUGAAUUUCGAGUAAGAAAAAUAGUCAAUAGACUUCCAUUAUAAAGUUAAACCUCGUGUGGAACCACGUGAGAAACCUCGAGCCAAGUACUAGUAGAAUAACGAGUUGUUGGACCAAAAUAUAUAGGAAGAAAUCAAUUUCUAGAAACCGAAGGUCCAGUUUUUUCAACCUUAGUACUAGAACAAAAGAGGGAAAAGGUCGUUGGAAACCGGAGAGAGUAACAAGUUUGACUUUAAUAACUACUGCUUUCAGGUCUGAACGAAACAACCCUAGAAUGGGGAUUACCUUAAACAAGAAGAUUUAGACGUAUAUUUGAGACAAAUGUCCUCUAAGUACGAUUAGGGUCUUUACGCGGACGAUGAGAAGGAAACCUAAACAAUCUAAAAGAGUUUAAUUAAACCUUUGUCUUCCUAAACGAAGGAUCCCAGUUUUGAAAGCGGACCUCUAAUGAAUCUUUCCGGAACGGAUGCCCAAACGCUCGACCAGCAAAAAGGUAAGUAUAAAGAUUUUUAACAACAGCAACACCGGUCGUUCUCCUACUCAAGGUAGAUAAAAAAGACACAUUGAAAAGGGCACGCCGAACCAAAAGGAGAGGAACCAAGGAAGUUAGCCUACGAAAUUAAGUCCCGGUAAGGUGAUACGUAAGACAAGAAAAACUGAACGAAGCAUACCCUGUAGGAGUACUAAGAUAAAGAUCACAAAAUUUAAAAAACACCACAGAGACCUUCCGAUCUUUACUAAAAGAGAAACUAUCUUUUUUCCGAGAAGGGGUGGUUCAAGUAUAACGUCGAGAACGAAAUCGAAGACUAACAAUACUAUUAGAAGGUACAAAUGGAAGCUUCGUCCUAGUUCGAGUAUUAGUUAACGGAGGAUUAGUCGAGGGAUACGUUCCAUCUUGCGAAUUCUGUCUAGACAAUUAACAACCGGGAUUCUAGAUAAGACUACGACGAAUAUCCUGGUUCUUUCAAGGUCCAAACAACGUUCCUCUCCAACGAUAUCUACACCCUCACAUGUAGAGAUACGGGAAGUUGGUCUUCCUUUAAUUACACGUUCAAGUUCGAAGCUGAAGAGGAUGAAGAUGAGGAGAUGUUCGACUUCGUAACCGAGAAAGAAAACGACGAGUAGAACGAAGAGUUGAGUUAUAACGCGUCGGGUGAAAAGAAAACCUAACAGAACGAAAUCGAAACCGACAACGGAGUCCAUUAUAAACACUAAGACGGUGGGGAACCUUAUAAUCUUUCAGAAACCGAUCGAAAAAGUUUACAUGUAGAUUAAACGUUCGCGUGCACAAAGUAUAAAGAUCUCUUUAGUUACCAUAACGAGUGUUAGAACGCGUUGUCCAAAAAGCAAGACUACCCGUGUGAGUUGAGAGAACAAAACGACGAUGAGUAAGAGUUCAAAGAACAGGACACAACGGGGAAGAAAGUUUAAAGGUCUAAGUCCCAAAAUCUUAAGUAUGAUAUGUAACGAUGAUUGUUGGAACAACACGUACCUAGAAGACGAAGAUAAGUGUCGCAACGACACGACCGAAGAUAUGAGAGAGAGAGAGAGAAAGUCCUACGUGGAAACGGUCUAAUUCCUACCAGAAGAAGUUGGACGACCAAAGAGUGUCCUUUUCCUUAGGAGAAGGUAGAACACGUAAAACGUCUCAAACGGUUCGACUCCGGUCAACUGCAGAAUUCGAGACGUCCUAAUUUAAAUCUCCGAACAUAAUGUGGACAGAAACCCAAGAAGUCAUGUGAAAGUUCAGUAGAAACAAACCGUGUGAAACAACAAAAUCUGACAGACAACAGACAGAAAGACAAGAAGACUAGUACGACAAGUAGUCAACCCCAAAGGGAGAGACAGAAGGUCCUAUCAAGGAGUCGAGUAUAUCGGAAUCUGAGACGAAGAGAAAGAAAGUUAAAGAACCGUCCAGAUACAUUACGAACUACAUGAGACAGUUACUCGACUUACUUUAACCGUGGACAACCACGGAAGAGAACAAUUUUUUUUUUCACAGGUGUGCGCGCGCAACACAUCAUCAUUCGGUGUCGGCAGGCUCAGGGGGUUAGGGUAGUGACUACGGUGGUGGUCGUCGUUGGUACCGGCAGGAGUCUCGUAGGGACGAGGGUGGGGUCGGAGAAGGGAGAAGGAGGAGGAGGAGGUGGGGGGUCAGAGUCGCCGAGGGGUCACCGUCGUAGUGGCGACGUCGGGACAGUUCUUGUUCGGGCGUGGGAGGAGGAGAGUUCUGGCCGACGGCGCCGUCGCGGUUCUUCUAGGAAGAACGUCCUUCUCCCGCUGAGGGGACGAACGGGUGUUUCGUUCUCCAGCAGCGCCAUCCGCCACGCCUCCUCCUUGCUAUGGAGCGCUCCCUCCGGCCCACCCCUCACGCCGCCUACCCCGCCUAGCCGCUCCUCUACUCCGCCCACCGCGAGCACGUCCGGCUCCGGAAGGUGCAGGGGCAACGCGAGAAGUUGCUGAAGAAGAAGCUAAAGAAGUUUCAUACGUAGUGUACUUUACGAAAGUAGACAUGAUCUUUACAGAUACACGGGCGCAUAAAACUAUCCGUGCUGCAAAGAACAUAACCGGUUCUAGUCCGUCUCCACAACCGCCGCGAGUAAAUGUUUGACUCCUUAAGCGGCGGACUGUCCAUACGCACGAACCACCGUCUUCUUCGACUACUCGGCAGCGUCAGCGUCCGUGGUAAACUCUUCUAGUAACCCCACCACCUAACGUGCCACGUCCUACUUCCGCUGUAGGAAUCCUUGGAGGUUCCACAGGUCCUCAUGAAAAUGCAUAGUCCUUAUCGUCACGACGGUAGUAUGUCCUCCUCCUUCCACCCGUGGCGGGACGACUUUCGCACGCUCCACAACCGAGAUCUUACCUCCGUCUCUAAGUACCGAGAAUCCCGUAUGCUCCUACUGUCGUCGCGAGCUCCUGAGAUGCGUUUCCGUCCCAUGUCCCACCACAGUUCCCUAGGACCUACCCAGUGGACCCAACCCUCCUCCUCCGCACAAGAGUACCAUUUUCUUAACGGCCAAGUACUACGAGUCUAGGUUGUCGUUACUGUACGAACAGGAUCAUCCAGGGGCAUAUAUAUAUACAGGGGACGAUUAAGGAACGCAGACCACAUUCUUACUGUAAAAAACCCCCCAAAUUAGUAACACAUCGUACUUAGCCACGACCUGACAAUCAAAACUUAAUAAGAGACGUAUUGACUACAAGGUGCGUCGUAACGAGUUAUACAACUCGUCCGCGUUACGUCAGAGACGUCUGUACCAACCCCCCGUAGUAGACAUUCGACAGGAAGGAUUCGUCUCCCUGGAUGCUUAACAAGGUGGAUCGACCAAUUCUG